rnacentral:rRNA from 1 species
AUGGGCAAAGAUAUUAAAAGCUAUGGUCUCCCGGAGCUGGUUGAGACCGGUGAUGGUUCCGGCGACCUCCUAAGGGAGGUCCGAGAGGAGUUGUCAGUCGGUGUGGAUCAAGAGCAUUUAGAUCUAUAUACAUCCCUAAAUAUUGAGCAGAGGGCUGGGUUUGAGGAAAUCUUGGAUCACGUGGUGAACAACAGGAAACAGGUUUUCUUUGUUGUUGGUCCUGGUGGCACGGGGAAGACUUAUCUCUACAAGGCGCUUCUUGAUAAAGUGUGUUCAUUGGGGAAAAUAGCUAUUGCAACUGCGACAUCUCGAAUAGCCGCAUCAAUCAUGCCCGGUGGACGUACCGCCCACUCUUGGUUUAAAAUUCCAAUUAAGCUCAUGGAUAAUAGCAUCUGCAGCUUCACCAAGCAGAGUGGUACUGCAGAGUUGCUUCGGAGAGCAUCUCUCAUAAUCUGGGAUGAGGUUGCCAUGACGAAGCGUCAAGCAGUUAGGCACUAG